rnacentral:rRNA from 1 species
GUGGGGAAUCUUGCGCAAUGGGCGAAAGCCUGACGCAGCCAUGCCGCGUGGAUGAUGAAGGUCUUAGGAUUGUAAAAUCCUUUCACCGGUGAAGAUAAUGACUGUACCCGGAGAAGAAGCUCCGGCUAACUUCGUGCCAGCAGCCGCGGUAAUACGAAGGGGGCUAGCGUUGCUCGGAAUUACUGGGCGUAAAGGGCGCGUAGGCGGACAGCUUAGUCAGAGGUGAAAGCCCAGGGCUCAACCUUGGAAUUGCCUUUGAUACUGGCUGUCUUGAGUGUGGGAGAGGUGAGUGGAACUCCGAGUGUAGAGGUGAAAUUCGUAGAUAUUCGGAAGAACACCAGUGGCGAAGGCGACUCACUGGCCCAAUACUGACGCUGAGGCGCGAAAGCGUGGGGAGCAAACAGGAUUAGAAACCGUGUAGUCC